AAAUUGAAGAGUUUGAUCAUGGCUCAGAUUGAACGCUGGCGGCAGGCCUAACACAUGCAAGUCGAACGGUAACAGGAAGCAGCUUGCUGCUUCGCUGACGAGUGGCGGACGGGUGAGUAAUGUCUGGGAAACUGCCUGAUGGAGGGGGAUAACUACUGGAAACGGUGGCUAAUACCGCAUAACGUCGCAAGACCAAAGAGGGGGACCUUCUGGCCUCUUGCCAUCAGAUGUGCCCAGAUGGGAUUAGCUAGUUGGUGAGGUAACGGCUCACCAAGGCGACGA
rnacentral:rRNA from 1 species